rnacentral:rRNA from 1 species
AUUGAACGCUGGCGGCAGGCCUAACACCUGCAAGUCGAGCGAGCGGCGGACGGGUGAGUAAUGGCUGGGACACUGCCUGAUGGAGGGGGAUAACUACUGGAAACGGUAGCUAAUACCGCAUACCAUCAGAUGUGCCCAGAUGGGAUGAGCUAGUAGGUGGGGUAACGGCUCAACUAGGCGACGAUCCCUAGCUGGUCUGAGAGGAUGACCAGCAAACCGGGAACUGAUGCACUGGCCAGACGGCGACGGGAGGAGGCAGUGGGGAAUAUUGCACAAUGGGCGCAACCCUGAUUCAUCCAGGCGGCGUGUGUGAAGAAGGCCUUCGGGUUGUAAAGCACGUUCAGCGGGGAGGCGUUACCCGCAGAAGAAGCACCGGCUAACUCCGUGCCAGCAGCCGCGGUAAUUC